GGGCGGAUAGUUCAAACCUAAAACGUAACACUGAAAAUGUUAAGACGGCAUUUUGCCUCCUUCCA
rnacentral:tRNA from 1 species